rnacentral:rRNA from 1 species
ACGGAAGGCAGCAGUGGGGAAUAUUAGGCAAUGGGGGAAACCCUGACCUAGCAACGCCGCGUGAAGGAAGAAGGCUUUCGGGUUGUAAACUUCUUUUACCAGGGACGAAGAACGUGACGGUACCUGGAGAAAAAGCCAUGGCUAACUACGUGCCAGCAGCCGCGGUAAUACGUAGGUGGCAAGCGUCGUCCGGAUUUACUGGGUGUAAAGGGCGUGUAGGCGGAGAGGCAAGUCAGAAGUGAAAUCUCCGGGCUUAACCCGGGAACUGCUUUUGAAACUGUUUCCCUUGAGUAUCGGAGGGGCAGGCGGAAUUCCUAGUGUAGCGGUGAAAUGCGUAGAUAUUAGGAAGAACACCGGUGGCGAAGGCGGCCUGCUGGACGACAACUGACGCUGAGGCGCGAAAGCGUGGGGAGCAAACAGGAUUAGAUACCCUGGUA